rnacentral:rRNA from 1 species
AAGCUGGAAUUGCUAGUAAUGGCAGGUCAGCAUACUGCCGUGAAUACGUUCCCGGGCCUUGUACACACCGCCCGUCACACCAUGAGAGUUGGGGAUACCCGAAGCCUGUGAGCUAACUAUUUAUAGGAGCAGCAGUCGAAGGUAGAAUCAAUGAUUGGGGUGAAGUCGUAACAAGGUAUC